rnacentral:tRNA from 1 species
GAGGGUAUAGCUCAAGUGGUAGAGCACAUGCUUAGCAUGCAUGCACAAGGUCCUGGGUUCAAUUCCCAGUUCCUCCU